rnacentral:rRNA from 1 species
UACAGAGGUCUCGAGCGUUAGGCGGAAUCACUGGGCUUAAAGCGUGUGUAGGCGGAUCGUUAAGUGCCUUGUGAAAUCCCACGGCUCAACCGUGGAACUGCUUGGCAUACUGGCGGUCUUGAGCAACCUAGGGGCGAGCGGAACAAAUGGUGGAGCGGUGAAAUGACGUAGAUAUCAUUUGGAACGCCAAUGGUGAAAACAGCUCGCUGGGGGUUUGCUGACGCUGAGACGACGAAAGCCAGGGGAGCAAACGGG